rnacentral:rRNA from 1 species
UACGUAGGGUGCAAGCGUUGUCCGGAAUUAUUGGGCGUAAAGAGCGUGUAGGCGGCUUGGUAGGUCCAUUGUGAAAACUCGAGGCUCAACCUCGAGACGCCGGUGGAAACCAUCAGGCUAGAGUCCGGAAGAGGAGAGUGGAAUUCCUGGUGUAGCGGUGAAAUGCGCAGAUAUCAGGAAGAACACCCGUGGCUAAGGCGGCUCUCUAGUACGGUACUGACGCUGAGACGCGAAAGCGUGGGGAGCGAACAGG